AGUGAACGCUGGCGGCAGGCCUAAUACAUGCAAGUCGAACGGCAGCACAGCAGAGCUUGCUCUGUGGGCGGCGAGUGGCGGACGGGUGAGGAAUACGUGGGAAUCUGCCCAGUCGUGGGGGAUAACGUAGGGAAACUUACGCUAAUACCGCAUGCGCCUUCGGGGAAAGCCGGGGACCUUCGGGCCUGGCGCGAUUGGAUGAGCCCACGUCGGAUUAGCUAGUUGGCGGGGUAAAGGCCCACCAAGGCGACGAUCCGUAGCUGGUCUGAGAGGAUGAUCAGCCACACUGGAACUGAGACACGGUCCAGACUCCUACGGGAGGCAGCAGUAGGGAAUAUUGGACAAUGGGCGCAAGCCUGAUCCAGCCAUGCCGCGUGAGUGAAGAAGGCCC
rnacentral:rRNA from 1 species